rnacentral:lncRNA from 1 species
GCCCCUCCUCCCACUCCAAGCAGGGAUGGUAGAUCUUAUUCCUGUGGGGAAUCUCUCAUCUCUUCCUUUUUAUCUCUCAGCUUCUCCUCCCUCUCAAACUAAAGGGGUAGAGGGAGAGGGUAGAGGAGAAGGAGAAACUGUAUAGGAGAGAGGGUAGAGGAGAAAGAGAAAGGGGAGAGGGUAGAAGAGAGAGGGUAAAGGAGAGAGAGAAAGGGUAGAGGGAGAGGGUAGAGGAGAACAAGAAACUAAAGGGGAGAGGGUAGAGGAGAAAGAGAAACGUAGAGGGAGAGGGUAGAGAGAAAGGGUAGAGAGAGAGGGUAGAAGAGAGAGAGAAAGGGGAGAGGGAGAGGGUAGAGGAGAGAGAGAAAGGGUAGAGGAGAAUAAGAAAGGGUAGAGAGAGAGGGUAGAAGAGAGAGGGUAAAGGAGAGAGAGAAAGGGUAGAGGGAGAUGGUAGAGGAGAAGGAGAAACUGUAGAGGAGAGAGGGUAGAGAAGAGAGAGAGUGGAAUUGAUAGAUACAGAUUGAGAAAGGGACAUAUAGGAGAAGAUGAUAGAGACAGAGGGGGGAGGGUUGAUGCAUGGGAAGCAGAGAGGGUAGAGGGUUGUGACUAGAUGGAGUACAGCUAAGGCCGGAAGUGACUUUUAGUAGCAAGUUCUCCUAACUAUGAAAAAGUCACCUCUGGUUGAAGCUCUAUAUCACGUAGUCAGGUAGAGUGGAUAGAGG